CCGACCAUCCACGCACCCUUUUAGCGCCUAGGAGUGAUUGCUCCUCAUAAUAAACUAUUGAUACAGUAUUAAAUUACAAAUGUGAUUUAAUUGCACUAUUAGUUUAGUAGUUACUCAAUUUAAAUCAAAACAAUAUAAUAAAACAUAACAAUUCUUGGCGUUAUGUAGCCUGAUUUAAAACGAUAAAAAUAUGUAUUUCUUCUUCUUAAUAUCAUUGUAUUAUUGUGAAACGAAUUAAAAAAAAACAUCGAAAAAAUAUUGUUUUUAUGAAAAACACUAAUAUAAAUCGAUAAUAUUUGUACACAAUUGGGGAUGUAUUAAUUUGGACAAAAUAAGUGGAGGGAUGAAAAAAGUAAAUUAUAAAAUGUGAAACAUCUCCCUUCCACUUUGACCACUGAAUGUAUUAUAAUAUAGAAAUACAAAAUAAUUAUUUUUCUCAAUUAUAUUUAAUUAUUUAUUAGCUAUAGUAAAAAUCGAUGUAAUUUAAGAUCACAUAAAACAUAUAUAAUUACAUGUCGUAUAUAUUAUUGCUCAAUAUAUUAUUAAUAUGUUGACGAGCACAUCGCAGUUUCUGUAUAUCUGUUGGCUAUUAGGUACAUGCAAGUCACUGCAUGCCACUGUAUGCCACAUUAUAUGCAGCCUAUACUUAAAGGAAAAAAAAAAGAAAAUAACAACGGUAAAUUAAUAAAUUAUAAUAAGUACAUUCAAUAGCUGCGGCAUCAUCUCAGCGUUAACAAAUAAUAAAUAUAUAAUAUUAUACUACAGUAUACAAACAGUGUUUUAAAAAACCAAUACAUUUAUAUUAAAAAUUAAAAAUAAUACAAGCACGGAAUAUAUUAUGUAGGUACUUAUUUAGAAAUUUGUAUAAACAACUGUUUUUUUUUUUUUUUAAUUAUUUAAACAAUUUUAUAUCAAGCCUAGAGUAAGGGAGGCAGAUAUUGGCAUGGUUCCUGAGUCAACAAAUGUAAAAGGCCCAUUAUGUCACCAAUUAAUGUAGGUGUAUAAAAAGUCCGUUAAACAGAUAAGGUAGAUAAGGUAGAUUGUGCUAAAAAAAAUACGCGUACACUACCCAAACCAUGGAUAGCGUUAUUUCUAUAGAAAUGAAAAAUAAACACA